AUGGCCAGCUUCGCCACCCAGCUGCUGGACGUGUUCUACGACCUCGUCCAGCGCGUCACCGGCUACAGCGCCCGCGCCGAGGACGACAAGGAUCUACAGAAACAUAGCAACUUGGCAACUACGGAGGCUUUCCGGACGGAGGAAGUUAUCGAGAUCAGGUCCAGAAAUCACCCGGAUGUACCAGGAGGGUCAGGCGCUCAGGUGAAUUAA
rnacentral:rRNA from 1 species